UGAUGCCUUGCUAUUCAAGAUAAUAUAAUUGUGCAUUUGUGUGUUGCUUGAUUCUAAAAAUCCAAGGGAAUUCUGGGUUUCUAUUGACAUUCUUGUCUAUUUAAGAUAAUAUAAUUGUGCAUUUGUGUGUUGCUUGAUUCUAAAAAUCCAAGGGAAUUCUGGGUUUCUAUUGACAUUCUUGUCUAUUGGAUUGCUACCCAUUUGGUCAGAUCUUUUCAACUCUAAACUUCUAAUUUUGUACAUAGGAUAGUCUCUUCAUCU
rnacentral:lncRNA from 1 species